UUUCAGGGAGCUGGGAUUCCUGGGCCCUUAUCUUGGGGAUCCACAAUUCGGGGAUCCUCUGUGUCUCAGGAAGCCCCUUAGUCUUUGGCCAGAUGCCCUUCUCAGUGUCCACGUUCUCCCAACCUCUUGCUUCUCCAGCUCCACAUCUGGUCCCACUAGGAGCAAGGCUGGGUACGAGAUGAUGGGACUGACUCAGCGGUACCCACAGAAUUCUUGCCACAGCCCUUAGUUCCCCCUCUCACAUCCUAUACCAGUUCCUUUCCAGAUUUAAAGAACCAUUCCCUAGCAAUGGGGCCCUAUUUUCAGCUCCAAGCUAGACCCUCCCUGGGAUAGGAGGGAUCUUGAGAUCCCAUGUUCCUUAUCUGGCGCACCCUGGGAAUGGGCGAAAAUUCACAGAAGAGAGCAUGGGAGGGCAGCAGCAGGGCUGAGAGAACUUCGGCUGCCUGGCUCUGAGAACUGAAUUCCAUAGGCCGUGAGCUCUAGCAAAUGCCCUAAGGACUCAGUUCCGGUGCCCGGCUAUGCUGUGGCACCACCAACACUCAGGCCACCGGGAAGCUGCUGGCUCAGGCCCACGGUGUCCCAGCCAGGUGCUCCUCUUCAACUUGGGCUGAUCUGCUCAGACUUGAAUGUUCCCCCCAAACUCAUUACCUUGCCAUUAAAGUUUUUAAAAACCUUUUUUAAUCCUCACCAGAGCACAUUUAUUUUUCAUUGCUUUUGAGAGAGAGAGGAAGGCAGAGAAAUAUCGAUGCAGGAGAGAAGCAUCAAUUGGUUGCCUGCCAUAUGCGUCGGGACCAGGGAUGGAAAGCGACUGCAUUUGGGCCAGGGGACAAACACACAGCCUAGGUUAACGUAUCAGAAAUCUCAUGAUGUUCAUGUGUCUCUGGUAAAGAAAAACAUUUCAAGACACUGUUGUUAAAGAUGAGAGACAGGAAGGAAAGGAGAGAAACAUCAAUGUGUGGUUGCCUCUCCCAUGCCCACUACUGGGGACCCGACCCACAUCCCAGGCAUGUGCCCUGACUGGGGAUCUAACCGGUGACACUUUGGUCUGCAGUCCAUGAUCGAUCCACUGAGCUACACCAGCCAGGGCCAAUGAUUCAGUUUCUCAUUCUGAGACUUUAUAUUCUACACUACAAUUUAAUGCUUAUGUUUGUGAACAAAGCUGUGUAUUCAAGGGUAUUUGUCUUAUCACCCUUGUUCCUUCCCAGUACGACCAUGACGCCAUCUUCCUUUGCCCAUAUUCCUUGGGAAACCUCCUAACUGGUCUCCUUAUUUCCACAGCGGCUCCUCUACAAUCUCUUUUUCAUACAACACGCAGAAUGAUUUUUUUUUUAAGUCUGAUCAUUACUGUUUCUCCUGCUCAUAACCCUCUGCCCCAACCCCCUCCCCCAAAAUAAAGCGCAAAAUUCUCAACGUGGCUUCCAAGUGCCAAAG